rnacentral:rRNA from 1 species
UGUUUCGGCUAGGGGGCCAUCCCGGCUUACCAACCCGAUGCAAACUGCGAAUACCGGAGAAUGUUAUCACGGGAGACACACGGCGGGUGCUAACGUCCGUCGUGAAGAGGGAAACAACCCAGACCGCCAGCUAAGGUCCCAAAGUCAUGGUUAAGUGGGAAACGAUGUGGGAAGGCCCAGACAGCCAGGAUGUUGGCUUAGAAGCAGCCAUCAUUUAAAGAAAGCGUAAUAGCUCACUGGUCGAGUCGGCCUGCGCGGAAGAUGUAACGGGGCUAAACCAUGCACCGAAGCUGCGGCAGCGACACUCAGGUGUUGUUGGGUAGGGGAGCGUUCUGUAAGCCUGUGAAGGUGGCCUGUGAGGGUUGCUGGAGGUAUCAGAAGUGCGAAUGC